UCUUCUUCCAAAUCCCCACCCACUUCCUGCUUCCCAAGGCCCAAAAUCUUCUGCCUUUUCUCUUUAUUCUCUUCUUUCCUCUCUCUAAAACUUGAAUUGAGGGUUUUGGAUUGAAAUUGAGUGGAUUAAAGAAGCUUAAUUGGGAAUAAUGGGGUUGUUUUGGAAUCAUCGAAGCAAGACGAGUGUGUUUUGUGUUGGGUGAAGUUUAAAGUCGGUGAAAAGUAUAUUGUCUGGUAUACACACAACAGUGGACCGGAAUCCUGUUUUUCUAGGGUUUCAUUGAAAGUUGUAAAGGUAUUUUUGGACCGUUCAAUCGGCAUUCUGUUGUUUGUUGAGAUUCAGGAUUUUCAUAUGAAAUCGAAGAACCGUAAAGCCAAUUUCACCUGUCAACUGUUACAUGAUCUUCGUCACACAUCCUUAAACCCUAAAUUGUUUCGCUUCUGAUCCCUAAUCGCGUCAAAGUCAUUCUUUGUGUUUAAUCAGAGGAGCGGCUUAAGCUUGAAACUGCGAGAUUAUACAAGCUACCGGGAAUAACUCAGACAAGCAGAGAUAGAUGUCAAAAGGAUCGAUGUUGGAAUUACUGCUGAGACUCUUAGCAUCUAUUAUACCUUAUCUACAAGUGGUGUAUGUUACAAAUGAAGCUUGAUGUAAUUUGGAAAUGAAGCCUACAUAGUGUCUAAUUUAGAAUUAAUAUUCGAUUUUACAGGCCCAGCCACCAAACCUAGAGGAACCAUUGGUUGGUGUAAAUGGGAAUCAUGUACAUUCUUCUCCCGACAAAAAGAAGGAAGUUCUUCUUGCUGGAGCGUUACAACCCAUAAUUGAACCGCUUGGCUCAAGCUGCCCAGAGUGCCAAGGUGAAGUUGCCUUAUUACUUGGACAAUUUACUGGCGCUGAUACAUAUUGCAAGGUUGAUAUACAUGUUGAUCAUUAUUAUGUUCGUUUCUAUUCCUGGUCUUAGAGGUCUACUACAAACUCUGAUAAAUCAUUUUAUCUGGACUGAACGACAGCUUCUUGAGUCGAGCUUUGUUUUUGCAUUUUUUUUGACCGGCCAAACAAUUUAAUCUGGUAAGCGCUAAGCCUAGGUCUCAUCACUUUGUUUACUAUUUAUAAUCAGGUUAAACAUAGUCAUUAGGUAUAUAGUCUAUGCUAUGAUUUUAAGUGAGGUAUUUUUUUAAUUUCACUCUUGCUUAUUGCUACUGUGUCAUUUGUGUACAG
rnacentral:lncRNA from 1 species